GUGGGCCCUCGAAAUCCGUCGGCGGGGGAUUCAGUCGGAAAGCGCGGGCUCGUGCGCCGGUCGUUUCAUCGGACCCUCUCCAGGGCCGGGCCGGCGUCGAAGUCUCCGUGCGAUCCGACGCACUUCCUCCCGCCCUGAGGACGCCGCAGCCGGUUGGGUAGCUGCGUGAGUCGGCCAUAAGGAUGGGCGCCGGAAGGUGGCCAGUGGCGUUCCCCGUGUUCGUCGCUGGUCGUUAUCCAGCCCGUCCGUGGCACGACACCCGACCGAGGUCGAUGGGUCCCGGUUAGGACCUUGCCGUCCCCUCCCCUGUGGUCGAGCGGACGCUCCAGCAGGCGAUUGCCCGUGCGGUCGUCCCACUCUUCGAGUGGACGGUCCUCUGGUGGCGCCGUUGGCGAGGAUGCGUUCCGCGCGGGGUUCAGGCGGCUUGCGGCGAGUAGGUCGGUCACCCACCCGACCCGUCUUGAAACACGGACCAAGGAGUCUAACAUGUGCGCGAGUCACGGGGUCUUGUUCAGGCCCAGAGGCGCAAUGAAAGUGAAGGUCGACCUCGACGUCGGCCGUGUUGGGACUCUCCGCCCUCGCGGCGGGGAAGCACCAACGACCCGUCCUAUCCGAUUCAUCGGUUGGGCGRAGUGUGAGCGUACACGUUGGGACCCGAAAGAUGGUGAACUAUGCCUGGGCAGGACGAAGCCAGAGGAAACUCUGGUGGAGGUCCGUAGCGGUUCUGACGUGCAAAUCGAUCGUCAGACCUGGGUAUAGG
rnacentral:rRNA from 1 species